ensembl:lncRNA
UACGAUGUUUUUUUUAUUUAUGGUUUUACAGUUUAUAUACAUACAUGUCAUCAGUUUCUUUUUGUAUGGGCUGUCAAGCAAGGACAAUAAUCUUUGGGCUACAGGGGAUUUUUUUUUUGUUUUUUUUGGUUCUGGCAGGUUGGUUCCUGGGAAAAGUUUGGCAGCUAAGAGUUUUCCACACUGUAUCCAUGUAAAUGACAUGCUAGUGCUAUGGCGACCGUGUGUUUUUGGCUACGGACUGCUGGACAGCUCACCAAGCAGUGAACUGAGGGACCACCCCCCCCAAUCUUUACUGACAUAGCUAUCAAGGGCCACAAGGAGGGAAACAUAGCAAACAACUGGAAGAAGACAGCAAUUCACCCAAAAAGCAGAUUCCCCCCCUGUUUUUGCGGCACUGAUACAUAACUCUGCGACAAUGCAACUGAAACGUACCAUACUGGCUCUUUGCUUCCUUGGCGCAGUAGCUUUGUGUCAAGAUCAGUCAACGAAUAGCCCACAUGUCUCAUCACCUGUGACGGGAGAAACGCCAUCAGAUGUGACAUCAGGUAUGACAGCAGAGAGGCCAACUGCCCCACUUUCUACAAAUGGCCCGACUGAUAAACCCGCCGCUGCCACAACUGGUCAGUCCGCCCUACCUUCAACUGGACAAACUGGAGCCCCAGAAACCAGCGAAACCACCGUGGAUGUGGGAGAGGUUCCACCAGAAGGGCUUUCACCCGGCGCUAUAGCUGGCAUUACCAUCGGUUCUCUGGCUGGGGUGGCUGCAGUUGGUGAGUGCAGGAGCCUACACAAGCACAGACAUUACUGAUCACCUCAACCUUCUGCUUCCUCAAUUACAUACCACCCUGUUAUAAGUGCUCCUGCUAAAAGUGAUUGCUAGUAACAGGAAUGAAUGAACUAUUGUUUUGCCAAAGGUAAAUUACAUAACUACUACUUAUAAUGCUGCUUCAAACUCCUGUUAAAGAUAAAUCAUUUUAAAAAACACUGAAUAAUACUAUUUUUUUUCCAGGUGGUGGGAUCUUUGGCGCGCUGAAGUACACCGGGAGGCUCUGAGAGUAAUUCCUACCAAACAGCAAUUCAAAUUGUGAAGGAUCGUUAAAUAAAAUAUUAACUAUCCUAUAAUCUCCAACAGAUUAAUCAUUGAUCAUAAUAAUGGGACAAUGAAAAGACCCUUUGUCUGACAGGCCCAAUAAAAGUAUAUACGUAUAUUUAUCUUACUUAGAAGAUGCUUUAACGGGCCAGGAGGAAGACAUAUAUUUACAUUUGACUACCUGGCUAUUUUGAGUGUCUGGCUUUAGGUUUGGAAAUAAUCCUUGGUUGAUCAAAACAAAAGUAUUGUAAUUGUACAUUUUAUGAUAAUUAGAUGUUUUAUUUUUCUUGUUUAGCAAAUAAACUAUAGAUUGUUGUGUUUUCUUUAAAUCUCUCAAUGUCAUUUAAUAUGUUUCGGGUUUCAGGCGAUUUGUUCAACAAUGGUGAGUCAGUUUUCCUAUUGCUUAAUUUUUUAUUUUCCAUAACAGCAGUACGUGAUAAUUGGAGCAUGUGCAGUACCUAAGAUUUCACAGAAUAAUAAAGUGCCAUUAAUUUACUUCUGUGCCACUUUCUCAGUAAUUAAAAUUACAUAACCUGACCACUGAGUAAUUUGAUAGCUCACCAUUGAUGAAAAUGUUUUUCUCAUUGUUAACUGGGCUUUUGAACUGAAACUCUGCAUUUCUAUAUAUGUUUUUUUUAAAAAGUGAAAUCCCUGUUAGGAUUUAAUAAAUAACUCUGAAUCUUAUGACAUUUUUUUUAACAUUUCACAUUACAUAACAAUAGCUCAAGAUCUCUGAGCAAAGUCCAGGCAUUGAUUAUCCAAGUAUGUUCCAGGAAACCUGGUUGUUUGUUCAUUUUAUGAGUGUAUUGAGUGCACAGUAUAAUGUGUGUGUGUGUGUGUGACAGUCAUGACAAACAGAUAGGGUUAUGUAUUUCAUCUGAUUUUAGAUCUCAGUCUCAGUUCAGUGCUUCAAUUUGAAAGACUGGGCACAAAAGUUCAAUCUUGACAUUGGAAAUAGUUGAAAUAAAAUUAAUGGAAUAAUGAUUAAAAUAUUUCUCGAGCUCUCAAACACAUCUCACAAAUGGUGCUUGCUCCUUGUGGAUAUGGGUCUGGGUAAAGAUCCUCUAAUACCUCAUAUCAGAAGGGCAAAGUUCUCAUUAUGCAGUAGCCCAAGUGCUCCAAAUUUAAAUUUAUUUAAGUGCAAUAUGAUUGUGUUAUCACCUAUAACUGAUAAUGUACGCCUACUGACAAGUGGUUGUAAAACUAUUGGAUAGCGUCGGACAUUGGCUCCUGCCAGUAUAAAGUAAAAUCAACAAAUUGUAUACUUAGUGUCUGGUUCCACUUAAUACUUGUAACACGACAAAAGAAGCUAAUUUAGGCGAUUUAUUUGUGGUGACAACAAGACUAGCGCUAUAGCGCCACUUGCGGUUGGCCCCCCAUUGACGACCACUGAAGUAAUGUGCAAUAAGGGAGGUUUUUCCCUGUGGUGACCAUUCUGCCGACAUUGUUUGAAUGCAGCAACAGCCCUGCAUUUCAAUGUCGUUAAAGCUUACGACAUAUUGAACAUAUUGUCCAUAACCAUGUGUUCAUAUAUGUGUAAUCACCUGCAACAAAGAAACAAUGUUUCUUUGUCAACUCUGAAUGAGUUAAAUAUAGUUACAUGAGGUGGACCCGGCCUCCGUGUGAGUCGCCAUGUUUGCUACGUCGUAUUGAAUACGGUUGUUGCACAAAAUUGCACAGAAUACUUUGCAUACGCGCGGAAAUAGAAAUCAGUGGUGUGCCACCAUAAGGGUCCCCUGUCGGGUUCUCAGUCGUUGUGGUUUGCAACUUUACCACCAGAUGCCGCCAGAAAAUUACAAAAAUUACACACUGGGGCUUUAAAUAUAGCCGGAUAGCAUACAUUUUAUUAUCAGUAGUUAAUAAAAUGCAGUACCCACUGUCUUUUUCACCAAAUCUAGCGACGCUCAGAUUUCUCUUCAGUUACUGACCGUAACCAUUUGCUUUAAGCUGCUGGUAUAGAGUAGGUUUCUAUCACAGCUUUGUUGAUAGGGCCGAUUUAAGAGGUAAGACUGAGACUGGGAAACCAAAACAAUGAGAUUAUAAAAGAGGCUAAAAUGCCUCUUAUAUACCUCAUAAGACCUGAGUCAUAUUAAGUAUGAGAGUGAUGUGGUUUGAUUAGUCGAGCUUAGAGUAGAGUAAUUUUUAACUGGCCCCAGACUGAGGUAACAUUUAGUUGCUACCUCUAAUAUUGGAUGAAGAUUCAAUCUCAACAUUCAUUGUGGAUCUCAUUGUGGAACAGUUUAUUAGAGAACGUGUUGUGUAUACGCUGUGACCGCAGAUAUGAACCAUGGGCAGGGGAUACAUGAAAUACAUCUUCUGUCAAAUAAUCCUUUUGUCCGUUUGAGAUUUAGGGCUUAACAUACUGUUUUAAAAAAAACAACAUGUUAUUUCAGUGCGAGUUUUUGAGGACUUCACUUACAGUGAUAUAUCUACUGGUAAAAAUCUAAAGUUGAUGCGGUGAUUGUUCUCUGACAUGUAGAUAGAUUUCAAUUUUUUCAAUAUCUAUUAAAGACAAAGACGUGGGUUGCUGUAUUUUUGCCACAUAUUUAACCGAGGUGAUGAUCAGGCCAAACUUCAUCGACGUCAGGACUGCGUUUGAAAGUGGACUUUAGCCCACAGGAGGAGGCUGUCACGGUUUUAUGGUAUGGUCAUCGGCUAUGGUAGUGUCAACAUCGGGAGUGCUCGGUGAGAACACUGAAAACAACACUGCUCCCAUGCAGGCAAAUUACUGUUAAUACCCUGGGCUGUGUGAUCAGCCCAUAUGGUGUGCAUGGGAGCCAGGGGGAGUGUGUGUGUGUGUGUGUGUGUGUGUGUGUGUGUGUGUGUGUGUGUGUGUGUGUGUGUGUGUGUGUGUGUGUGUGUGUGUGUGUGUGUGUGUGUGUGUGUGUGUCUGUGUGUGUGUGUGAAUGUGCACAUGACCGGGGGGAGGGGGAGUGUCCUACCAGUGUGUGUGUUUGCAAAGAUGAAAAUGAAAAUGUUUGAGAUUAGAGAUUGAAUUAUUACAUAAUUGCAUAUUUUAGUGCAGACUCUUUUGGGUGACCCACAAGGGACAAAAUCUCCUUUUUUUAAAGAAAUGUUUUCUCAUAACGUGAGUGUACGUGUUGGUACAACUUCUCGCGCACACGCAACCACG